rnacentral:rRNA from 1 species
GGAGCGUUCCACCCUAGAUAGAAGCAUUAGCGUAAGCGGAUGUGGACGAAGUGGAAGUGAGAAUGUCGGCUUGAGUAGCGAAAACAUUGGUGAGAAUCCAAUGCCCCGAAAACCUAAGGUUUCCUCCGGAAGGCUCGUCCGCGGAGGGUGAGUCAGGACCUAAGGUGAGGCCGAAAGGCGUAACUAAUGGACAACGGGUUAAUAUUCCUGUACCAUUUAUUGUUGAUAUCGAGGGACGGAGAAGGCUAAACCAUCCGGAUGUUGGUUACCGGUUUAAACGUUAAAGGUGUUGAGAAACGGAGAAAACGUUUUGAGCUAAGGCGUGAAUACGAGAUACUAAGGUAUCGAAGUGGUUGAAGUCAUACUUCCAAGAAAAGCUCGAAAUAUCAUAAACAAUAAAUGCCUGUACCUUAAACCGACACAGGUAGGUAGGUAGAGCAUACCAAGGGGCGCGAGAUAACUCUCUCUAAGGAACUCGGCAAAAUAACCUCGUAACUUCGGGAGAAGAGGUACCCUCGAAAGAGGGUUGCAAUAACCAGACCCUGGCGACUGUUUACCAAAAACACAGGUCUCCGCGAAUUCGUAAGAUUAAGUAUGGAGGCUGACGCCUGCCCAGUGCCGGAAGGUUAAAGAAGUUGGUUAAUCCUCGGAUGAAGCUGGCGACUGAAGCCCCGGUGAACGGCGGCCGUAACGAUAACGGUCCUAAGGUAGCGAAAU